CCCUACGGGGGGCAGCAGUGAGGAAUAUUGGUCAAUGGGCGGGAGCCUGAACCAGCCAAGCCGCGUGAGGGAUGAAGGUACAGAGUAUCGUAAACCUCUUUUGUCAGGGAACAAAGGCGGGGACGUGUCCCCGGAUGAGUGUACCUGAAGAAAAAGCAUCGGCUAACUCCGUGCCAGCAGCCGCGGUAAUACGGAGGAUGCGAGCGUUAUCCGGAUUUAUUGGGUUUAAAGGGUGCGCAGGCGGUCUGUUAAGUCAGCGGUCAAAGCCCGGGGCUCAACCCCGGCCCGCCGUUGAAACUGGCAGU
rnacentral:rRNA from 1 species